rnacentral:lncRNA from 1 species
CAGGCUUUUUGAGCCACGUUAUUACUUAAAAGAAUUGAAAUGCAAACAUCAUCAAAUUAAAAACCCUCCAAGAAGGAGUGACACGUUAAUUGAUAAUAUUGUUUUUAUGCAGAAAACAUAUUGGCUAAGGAUGAUUAAGUUGUCAAUUAGAAACAAGAGCCAUCAGAGAGGACCACACCAAGCGCUUAAGACCUUAUCAGUGGAAGCAUGAGAGUCAAUUUGCUGCUGAAACUUCAUUUCCCAUCGUUUUGCCAUAAUUCAGUGAUGCAUGAUUAUGACUAUGGGGUUUGUAGAGAAAUAUUGCAAGUACAUUGGGAGGAGGUACGGUCUUCUUGCCAGCUAUUGCGAGGAAUGAUGAGUAGCUUUCAAUAAUAUUUUUAAUUAUAAUAUUCUGCAAGUUAUGUGUAUUCCUACAGGUCUCUCUCACCGUAGACUAAGUCAAUAAAGCUCUUCUUC